UACGUAGGGGGCAAGCGUUGUCCGGAAUCAUUGGGCGUAAAGAGCGUGUAGGCGGCUUGGUAAGUCCGCUGUGAAAGUCCAGGGCUCAACCCUGGAAAGCCGGUGGAAACUGUCAAGCUUGAGUCCGGAAGAGGCGAGUGGAAUUCCUGGUGUAGCGGCGAAAAUGCGCAGAGUAUCAGGAGGAACACCAAUGGCGGAAGGCAGCUCGCUGGGACGGUACUGACGCUGGAGACGCGAAAGCGUGGGGAGCAAACAGG
rnacentral:rRNA from 1 species